GUGCAUUGUUUUUCCUUACGGUCAUUUUCAAGCACAGUGUCUGUAUUUUAUCUAAACAAAUAUGCUCCUCUAUACUGUUGGUAUGGAUCAGAUACACUGAAAAAACGGUCCGAGAGGGGUUGCUCAAAUUGCAAAAACAAAUUUGACAACAAUAACAUCACUUUUUUACGUUUCUCUGUCAAGCAUGUUUAAAUCUUACAAACAUCGCUUGAUUGUGGCCGAUGUGAGACCUGCAUGUUUUAAUCAGGUUGAGGAAACAUGACUUUAUUAUAAUCUCUAGUGAGGCUCCUCCCUCUGGAAUUCUCCUCCCCAAAACUUUUGGAGGGAAAAUUCUAAUGUAACAGGACACAGGACAGUUAGAUGAGCAGAGGACACACAGUGUGGAGCAGGAGGAUUAUGAGAGCUGAUCUGGAGGUGAGACUUUUCAAAGAUUUUAUUAUGUGCUUCUCCGGCCUAGAAUGUCGUCAUUGUUAAAACAUGUUUGUGUUGUUUUAUUUGAAAUUAGAGUUAAUGUAAGGACAGCUUGAAACAAAUUGUUUUUGACUGUCCAUCUACAAGAGUGUGACACUUGUACUAAGAUUUGAAUGUGUUGCUUCCAGAGUCGUCUACAAAGAGUGACGUCCAGAGAUCUGCUGGAGCUGUGGGGAAGUUCAUGAAUGUUAUAGUUGAUGUUUCAGAAAAAAGGAAGAUGUUUGAGAACCAACAAAACACAGACCACAGAUGAACAAAGUGAUGUGGCAUUAGGAGACUUUAUACCAGAUGCCCUCCCUGUUACUGUGUUUAGAGGAAGAAAAGCAGCACAUGAGACCAGAGCUUCACUGGAAUAAAUCUUCACACUGUCCAGCUCCAAACUGUGUAUCUCUGUCCCUGUGCUCUCU